UCAUAUCAAUAAGCGGAGGAAAAGAAACCAACAGGGAUUGCCCCAGUAACGGCGAGUGAAGCGGCAACAGCUCAAAUUUGAAAUCUGGCCCCUCGGGGUCCGAGUUGUAAUUUGUAGAGGAUGCUUUUGGUGAGGUGCCGCCCGAGUUCCCUGGAACGGGACGCCACAGAGGGUGAGAGCCCCGUCUGGCUGGCCACCGAGCCUCUGUAAAGCUCCUUCGACGAGUCGAGUAGUUUGGGAAUGCUGCUCAAAAUGGGAGGUAUAUGUCUUCUAAAGCUAAAUAUUGGCCAGAGACCGAUAGCGCACAAGUAGAGUGAUCGAAAGAUGAAAAGCACCUUGAAAAGAGGGUUAAAUAGUACGUGAAAUUGUUGAAAGGGAAGCGCUUGUGACCAGACUUGGGCGCGGCGGAUCAUCCGGGGUUCUCUCCGGUGCACUUCGCCGCGUUCAGGCCAGCAUCAGUUCGUCGCGGGGGAAAAAGGCUUCGGGAACGUGGCUCCUCCGGGAGUGUUAUAGCCCGUUGCAUAAUACCCUGCUUUGGACUGAGGACCGCGCAUCUGCAAGGAUGCUGGCGUAAUGGUCACCAGCGACCCGUCUUGAAACACGGACCAAGGAGUCGUCUUCGUAUGCGAGUGUUCGGGUGUAAAACCCCUACGCGUAAUGAAAGUGAACGCAGGUGAGAGCUUCGGCGCAUCAUCGACCGAUCCUGAUGUUCUCGGAUGGAUUUGAGUAAGAGCAUACGGGGCCGGACCCGAAAGAAGGUGAACUAUGCCUGUAUAGGGUGAAGCCAGAGGAAACUCUGGUGGAGGCUCGCAGCGGUUCUGACGUGCAAAUCGAUCGUCAAAUAUGGGCAUGGGGGCGAAAGACUAAUCGAACCUUCUAGUAGCUGGUUUCCGCGAU
rnacentral:rRNA from 1 species